UACCAGCUCUUCGAGUGGUGUGGAUGUUUAUUGGGCCUAAAGCAUCCGUAGCUGGCUGGGCAAGUCCCCUGUUAAAUCCACCGAUUUAAUCGUUGGAGUGCGGGGGAUACUGUUCGGCUAGGGGACGGGAGAGGCAGACGGUAUUUUCGGGGUAGGGGUGAAAUCCUAUAAUCCCGGGAAGACCACCAGUGGCGAAGGCUGUCUGCUAGAACGCGCCCGACGGUGAGGGAUGAAAGCUGGGGGGAGCGAACCGGAUUAGAUACCCGGGUAGUCCCAGCUGUAAACGAUGCAGGCUAGGUGUUUGGGCGGCCACGUGCCGCUCUAGUGCCGCAGGGAAGCCGUUAAGCCUGCCGCCUGGGGAGUACGGCCGCAAGGCUGAAACUUAAGGAAUUGGCGGGGAGCACCACAAGGGGUGAAGCUUGCGGUUU
rnacentral:rRNA from 1 species